GCAACACCAAAGAGAACGGAAAGCUAAGUACUUCGUUUUGGGUCCUUGGCUCUUCCUUUAGUAGCGCUGGUUUGCUAAGGUAAGCUCGGUCCCCGUGUUGCCGGAGCGUAGGAAGGACGCUUGCGGGGUGAGGACGGCCCCCACACACGGCGAUUGGGUAGUUAACCCGCAGGCGGAGUGACUAGCUGCUGCUGUUUGGCCCUAGGUCGGCACCGCGGGUCCGUCCCGGGUCCCUAGUCUGGCUAAGCAUGUAGUUGGCGAGUCCUGGAUACGCAAGGAUAAAACACGAGAAGGACAUAGCCCCUCCCUGGCAAACUAGUCUUAGACAAAAGAAGCAAGUAAAAGUAGCAUCGGAUAUAGCAAAGCUUGAGUAAACGAGUUAACAAAUAACACUUGUGAUGACAAGGGAAAGCUAACACAAAAAGUUCUAAGGCGCCAUGCGCCCCUUGCAGGGAAACAAAAAAACGAAAAAAUAGACAAUCAUGCAGGAGGCGCUCCCGGGGCGGCUGCGUCGGCCUCAGGUGCAUCCUCGGCGCCGGGGGCUUCCCCGGCAACUUCCUCGUCAAUGGCUUCGGCUUCAUCGACCUUGCCUUGCAUCCGUGCCACCAUCUCGUCC
rnacentral:lncRNA from 1 species